CAAUUGUCCAAUUUACAAUUACUUGUUAAAAAAAUUUAAUAAAAGUAUUAAAAAAAAAUAAUAAUAAUAAAUAUUGAAUACAUAAAACGAAUACCUUUCAUUAUUGCGGCAUCUUAUCUUAUAUAUAUAUAUAAUAUUUAUCUUACAUUACAAUCACAGAGCUCUAUCCAUCCCGAUCAGGUGUUUCACAUACUCGUGUAGUCGUGUACCUGUCCGCAAGUAUUACACCAUCCAUACAGAGAUCAUGACGAGCGUAUAUGUUAUACAUAUAACUCUUAACGCGUUCUCGCGACUUAAACUGCUCUCGCCACUAUACUUAGAUUACAUUACAUACUCAGUUGGUUUUACUGGUCUUACUGUUGUACAUACGUACUGCAUGAUCUACCAUACCAUCAUACCAACUCUUUGCCUCUGACGAGAGGGACAAGAGGGACGAGAGGGACCAGAGUUAAAGGCGUAUUUUGUAACACUUGAGACAGGUACAAGGAUUACGGAUUAAAACCCAUACCGUCCUUUUUUUUUACCAUCUUUAAAUAUUUAAAACGUCACGUGAUUCAGACUACAAAUGUGAUUGCAACCAACAAAACUUUCAAUAAUUCAAAACUGGUAUUUUGUUUAUUAUUAUACAUACACUCUUUUUGGUAAUCUAUUCAAAAAAAAAAAAAAAUAAAUAAAUAAAUAUAAAAAAAAAAAACUUUCUAUUUAAAUUUCUAGUCUACUUGACAUUUUGUCGUGGGAAUUUAAAAUUUUUAGCCGUCAAUGGUGUUAUGAUUUCUUUUAUUUAUUUAAUUGAUUGAUUUUGUUUUUUGUUAUUUUUAUUAAAUUUUUUCAUAUGGAUGUCUAUUGAAUUAAAUUGUAUACAACUGUCGUUAUUCUUGAUUCGAGAGACUGAUUCCCGAUGAAUCGAAUGCGUAUGGUGAAAGUGUGCGAACGCCCGGCAGCGAUGAAUUCUCGACCCCCUACAUUAAAUAUAUAUAUAUAUAAGUAUUGUAAAAGCGGUGUUGUAUAAAAGCGUGCGACAAUAAUGACGAUGGGAAAAAAGAAAAACGUAUGGAUGUAUAUAAAUUUACAAGGAUGAAUAAAAGUGAAAGAUAGCCAUAGGGCAGUUUGUAUUAUACGAGUAUAUAUGCGUUUGCAUCUUCUUGACACGGUUGAAAUUAAGAACAAAUUAUACGUACAAUGAUAAGAAAUACCUUGAGGCAUUGUUGCUUCAUAAAGAGAAAAUAUUUAUAUACCUUGGUAUUAAGUAAUACUUUUACAUGCAUGUUUAAUAUUUUGUCUAA